GACGAACGCUGGCGGCGUGCCUAAUACAUGCAAGUCGAACGAGAGCGACCGGUGCUUGCACUGGUCAAUCUAGUGGCGAACGGGUGAGUAACACGUGGGUAACCUGCCCAUCAGAGGGGGAUAACAUUCGGAAACGGAUGCUAAAACCGCAUAGGUUCUACAGUCGCAUGACUGAAGAAGGAAAAGAGGCUUCGGCUUCUGCUGAUGGAUGGACCCGCGGUGCAUUAGCUAGUUGGUGAGGUAACGGCUCACCAAGGCCGUGAUGCAUAGCCGACCUGAGAGGGUGAUCGGCCACAUUGGGACUGAGACACGGCCCAAACUCCUACGGGAGGCAGCAGUAGGGAAUCUUCCGCAAUGGACGCAAGUCUGACGGAGCAACGCCGCGUGAGUGAAGAAGGAUUUCGGUUCGUAAAACUCUGUUGUUAGAGAAGAACAGCGCAUAGAGUAACUGUUAUGCGUGUGACGGUAUCUAACCAGA
rnacentral:rRNA from 1 species